rnacentral:misc_RNA from 1 species
ACUUGCUAUUGUAUUACGAUACUGUUUUCGGGGAAAAGUGUAUGAAAGAUAUGUGUAUCUUUCAUUAAAAUUAGUAGUCAUACUGGCUUAUAUUUAUUUAAUAUUCUACAAGCCUUUUUGGAAACAAAUGGACUACUACUGGAUAAUUGCAGGGGACAGUCAUAUGACAACGCUGCUAAUAUGGCCGGAGUCUACAAUGGUGUACAAGCACUACUAAAA